ensembl:lncRNA
GGAAGGGACCUCCUCAAAACGAAACCAGCAGGGGCCCUGUGGGCCUCGCCCCGCCUACCCUUGGGGCUGCAGCUCCCAGCUGACCAGGUGUGCAGGCCCUGGGGCCUCCCCAGGGCUGGAGGCCACACCUCAGAAUCACAGGUCAGGUGGGUGGAGGACUGGUUUGCAGUCCCCGUGGUAAAGGCAAGGUGGCUCUGGAGGAGGAAGGAGGGCGGAGGCAGAGGCCAGGCCCCAUGGCAGCCUGAACCAAGGCUCAGGUUUCUGCCCAGCCUUCCCUGGGGACUCAGAGAGGCUUGUGGAGAAGUACCUGGAGAAUCAGAGCGAGGCCUCAGGUGCGUCUCUUCCCUGCUCCCAUCCCUCCCCUGAACCCACCCCUGGGAAGGACACGCCCCCUGAAAGGGGGGUCACCACCUUGGACUAAAUGAGAUGGCUACUGCUGACCCCUGGCCCCCCAAGAAGGAAGCAGACCCUCUCCUGAACAUCCCGAAUCCCCUCCGCCUUCACCCUGGCCACACCCUAUGAGUUGCUCAGAACAGGUAACCCCCGGCUUCCCUCCCUGAGCCCGGGUGACCUGGGACCCAUCCAGAGGCUCCGACUUUCCCAGAGAGAUGCUGACCCUCCCCACACCUCCACGCCCUGCGUGCUGGAAUGAGCUCACAGCAUUAGGGCAGCGCUAGGCAGAAGGCUAUGGACUGGGUAUCAAUGUUGAGAGUCCUUGAGGGGCACAGAGCAGGGAAUGCCUCACAGGAGAACCAGUGUGAGCAAGAGCAUGGUGAUGGGUGCAUGCUAAGUUGCUUCAGUCAUGUUCAACUCUGUGACCCUAUGAACCAUAGCACAUCCAGCUCCUCUGUCCAUGGGAUAGGGUGAAAAAUCUUUCAUCACCUCCAGCAGAGCAAUGACCACUCCUAAUGGGCCCAGAAGGGGGCCUCAGCUCAAAAGGGGGUCAGAUCUGCCUCCACAGUGCCUCCUAUGGACUGUUUAACUCUGGAUGUGGCAGGUAGGGUGGCAGAGGUCACAGAGACUAGGAUGUUGGCUGCCUACCAGGCGAGCAGAAGCCUGUCUUCAUUUCAGACUCCACUGGCCUUGGGUGUGGGACCAGGUAGGUGGUGGCCAAGUAGGGAGCCGGGUCACUAGGAUAUCUGACUAAGAAACUGGAACUUUGGAACUUCCCUGGUGGUCCAGGGUCUAAGACUGCACGCUCCCAGUGCAGGAUUGGGUUCCAUCCAUGGUCAGGGAACUAGAUCCCACAUAUCACGACUAAAAAUCCUGAGUGCCACCACUGACACUCUGUGCAGCCAAAUUUUAAAAAAUAAAUAUUAAAAGAAAAAGUCACAGAGAGACUGGGCCCACAGAGCAGGGCUAGACCCUGGACCAGAGACCAUCCCGCCAAAACCUUCCUGGUGGCCUGCCUCAGGUAGAGGCCCCUCAUGUCGGGUCCCCCUGUCCCCUCUUCCUCCCAGAAGACCACACCCACCUCCAGGCACCAGCAUUGCACUGCCGUCCUUUUUUAAAAAAAAAUACUUAUUUUUAUUUAUUUAUUUGGCUGCGUUGGGUCUUAGCUGGGGCAUGUGAGUUCUAGUUCCCUGAGCAGGGAUCGAAUCUGGCUCACCUGUAUUGGGAGCUCAGAGUCUUAGCCACUGGACCACCAGGGAAGUCCCUGUGGGUGUCUCCUGAGGAGGCCUUUCUGCCUUCUCAGAGCCCCCAUAACCCUCCCUUGUGGCUGGGGUGCUCCCCACCACCACACUCAUCUACAAGUUCAUGCACAGGGUCAGCCCACUGCCCUCUCCCCUGCCUGGACACCCAUCUCCUUUCUUCCUUAACAGCUUUGGAUUUUGCAGUGGGGACCAAUGAGAUUUCAAGGGCAGCCACAUCAGCACCCCUCACCCUGAUGCCUGUGAGGGGACCAGUGUACAGGGCAGCCCAAAGUGCAGACCAUCCAAUGUUCAUCACUGCAUAGUGAAUACACAAAGUGGUCCCUCCACACCUGGAAGCAUCACUCAAUCAUAAAGAGGGGAGAAGCCCUGACACUCGCCACCAUGUGGACCGAUCCUGAGAACACAAUGCUCAGUGAGAGAGGCAGACACAGAAGGACGCACAGGGUGUGAUUCCACUGAUGGGAAACGUCCAGAACAGGCAGGUCCACAGACACAGAGAGUG